rnacentral:rRNA from 1 species
GGUUCGAUCAUGGCUCAGAUUGAACGCUGGCGGGAUGCUUUACACAUGCAAGUCGAACGGCAGCACGGACUUCGGUCUGGUGGCGAGUGGCGAACGGCAGGAAUGUAUCGGAACGUGCCUAGUAGCGGGGAUAACUACGCGAAAGUUGCAACGACACCGGCAUACGCCCUUCGGGGGAAAGCGGGGGACCUUCGGGCCUCGCACUAUUAGAGCGGCCGAUAUCGGAUUAGCUAGUUGGUGGGGUAACGGCUCACCAAGGCGACGAUCCGUAGCUGGUUUGAGAGGACGACCAGCCACACUGGGACUGGAGACGGCCCAGACUUACGGAGGCAGCAGUGGGGAAUUUGGACAAUGGGGGAAACCCUGAUCCAGCCAUCCCGCGUGUGCGAUGAAGGCCUUCGGGUUGUAAAGCACUUUUGGCAGGAAAGAAACGGCACGGAUAAUACCCCGUGCAACUGACGGUACCUGCAGAAUAAGCACCGGCUAACUACGUGCCAGCAGCCGCGGUAAUACGUAGGGUAAAAGUUGCUAAUCGGAAUUACUGGCGAAGCGUGCAGGCGGUUCGGAAAGAAAGAUGUGAAAUCCUAGAGCUUAACUUUGAACUGCAUUUUUAACUACCGAGCUAGGAGUGUGUCAGAGGGAGGUGGAAUUCGCGUGUAGCAGUGAAAUGCGUAGAUAUGCGGAGGAACACCGAUGGCGAAGGCAGCCUCCUGGGAUAACACUGACGCUCAUGCACGAAAGCGUGGGGAGCAAACAGGAUUAGAUACCCUGGUAGUCCACGCCCUAAACGAUGUCAACUAGCUGUUGGGGCCUUCGGGCCUUGGUAGCAGCACGUGAAGUUGACCGCCUGGGGAGUACGGUCGCAAGAUUAAAACUCAAAGGAAUUGACGGGGACCCGCACAAGCGGUGGAUGAUGUGGAUUAAUUCGAUGCAACGCGAAAAACCUUACCUACCCUUGACAUGUCUGGAAUCCCGAAGAGAUUUGGGAGUGCUCGCAAGAGAACCGGAACACAGGUGCUGCAUGGCUGUCGUCAGCUCGUGUCGUGAGAUGUUGGGUUAAGUCCCGCAACGAGCGCAACCCUUGUCAUUAGUUGCUACGAAAGGGACUCUAAUGAGACUCUGCCGGUGACAAACCGGAGGAAGGUGAUGACGUCAAGUCCUCAUGGCCCUUAUGGGUAGGGCUUCACACGUCAUACAAUGGUCGGGACAGAGGGUCGCCAACCCGCGAGGGGGGAGCCAAUCCCAGAAACCCGAUCGUAGUCCGGAUCGCAGUCUGCAACUCGACUGCGUAGUCGGAAUCGCUAGUAAUCGCGGAUCAGCAUGUCGCGGUGAAUACGUUCCCGGUCUUGUACACACCGCCCGUCACACCAUGGGAGUGGGUUUUACCAGAAGUAGUUAGCCUAACCGUAAGGAGGGCGAUUACCACGGUAGGAUUCAUGACUGGGGUGAAGUCGUAACAAGGU